rnacentral:tRNA from 1 species
GGAGAGGUGGCUGAGUGGUCGAAAGCACCGCACUCGAAAUGCGGCGUAUGGGCAACCGUACCGUGGGUUCGAAUCCCACCCUCUCCGCCA